GCAAAGGCAGGGCCCAUGGGCCAUUAGGACACAUAGUUCUCAGGUGUUUUCAUUUCAUGGCCUGACUUCUUUGAAUUCAGAUUAAAUCCCACUUGACAUGACCCUCUGGGACUCCUCGUGGAAAGUGGAGUCAUGUGAUAUCAGGGAGGCUGCUAAAGCAGUGCCGAGCUUGGGAAUCCCAAGCCAGGAUUUAGAACUUUAAGGGAAGUCACUCAAGGGGGCAUCACAAUGCUGAACUGGGAACCUUUCAACAAUGCUUAAGGGAUAAGUGAUAAGACAGGGGCCUCCAGAAUGAGUGACUAGCCUCCCUUUACAGUCUCACCUGCUCAGCUCUGUGACUCCAAACUGCAGUGUUUUCUCUCUUCAGUGGAGGAACGUGAGGCCCAGAGAUCCUUCUUGAGUUACCCAACGUCCUGCAGCCCGCAAUAGAGAAGCAGACUAGAGGCAACAUUACCGGAAUCUCUCUCUCCCAUCCCCCAUCCCAGACCCAGAUCCUUCUACUGCAGACACCUGCUGUUCUUUUAUUGAUGGCAUGGCUAGUGCUCAGUCAUCUGGUCACCACAACUCUACUGAGCCCCUCCCCUGGGUGCUGGACUGGCUCUAACACUGUGCGAACAGACAGAGGAAGGCUCAUGCUUGUGGAGCCAACGUUCUAAGUUGGGGAAGAGUCAAUGUAUGAAUUUUAAAAACAGUAAAACAAGAUCAUUUCAGAGAACGGAAGACAACAGCAAGCACGGGCCACCUGUGACCACGUGGACCCUAGGACCCAAGAGCAUGGCCCUGGAGCUGCCUGGCCCUACUGGCCUAGACUGGGCCUCGGCCACGCG
rnacentral:lncRNA from 1 species